rnacentral:rRNA from 1 species
GUGCCAGCAGCCGCGGUAAUACGUAGGUGGCAAGCGUUGUCCGGAAUUAUUGGGCGUAAAGCGCGCGCAGGCGGUCCUUUAAGUCUGAUGUGAAAGCCCACGGCUCAACCGUGGAGGGUCAUUGGAAACUGGGGGACUUGAGUGCAGAAGAGGAAAGCGGAAUUCCACGUGUAGCGGUGAAAUGCGUAGAGAUGUGGAGGAACACCAGUGGCGAAGGCGGCUUUCUGGUCUGUAACUGACGCUGAGGCGCGAAAGCGUGGGGAGCAAACAGGAUUAGAAACCCCCGUAGUCC